rnacentral:RNase_MRP_RNA from 1 species
CCCUCGCCCAACAAAUCGCUAUCGAAGCUACAUACAGAGACAACGUAUUUUCCGUCGUCUCCAGAUCUUCUUGCUUUGGGAGAAAGUCCCCGGACACGCUUCGUUCCGAAGCAACACGCGGAAACGCGCCGCCAUAGAAGCACUGCGUUCCUCCCAGCCCGUCAUCUCCUUCCAUUCUGCCCCUCCAGUCGUUACAUCUCCAAGCCACCCACAGUUAUCCGCCCUGGCGCUGAAUCAGCAGACCCCACGGACGAAGAUAUGAGUCCGCGCUGCUUUUCCGGUUCUGGGAUCCGUGACGGUGUGGUGGCUCGUUGAUGGCUGUUGGCCGCGGAGUGCGGAUGGUGGCUUGGCUCUCUUUGAUGGGAAGGGCUGGGUUGGAGUUUCUUAGUCGAGAUGGAUAGUUAUGCGAUUACCUGACGCUGCUUUGGUGGCUCGGUUUACUCGAUGGGGCUUAUUCUUGGUGCGAGG